GCUUGGUGAUUUAGAAGUUUUGAAUUUCUCCUAAAUUUUUUAUCUAGGAAAUCAAAGUACCGCGCGGACUUAAAGAACAUUUCUCGAGUGAUUCAGUAGUUCAUUAGGGCGGAGCGUGGGCUGGGGCGAUCGAAAUCCGUUAAAGAUCAAAACAACAGCCCAACUGAGUCUUCAUCGUCUCCCUCUCGCUCUCUGUAUUCCAUCUCCUGCUCAGACCAAACCGAAAACUCUCUCUCUCUCUCUCUUUUCGGCUUUAAUUCUUCCCAAUGCCAAAAAAGAGUUCUUCCAGAAAAGCUACUCAGACGAAAGAAAAUAAUGUUGAAGAAGAAAAACCUUCUUCAGCACAAAAAAAGGCUAGCAGUGAGAUUGAUGAAAUAUUUUCAGGAAAAAAGAGGAAGAACUCUGAACCAGAAAAGACUGAGAAGCCAAAUGAAGAGGCAACUGGAAAUCCUAAGAAAAUGAAGAAAAAGAAGAAGGAUAAAAGGUCUAAUGAUGAUGGGUUUGUGGAUCCACCUUCUCGUUCUAGAAAGAGGAUAAAGGAUGGGCUUGCUAUCUACACAGAAGAGGAGUUGGGUAUCAAUAAGGCAGAUGCCGGAGGUACCCCGCUUUGUCCCUUUGAUUGUUCUUGUUGUUUUUGAGGACAGGUGGCUGAAGUUGCUUCCUUUGGUCCAUUGAAUCUCUAGGAUUUUCCUGUAGUCUUGUUUUUAUUCAAGGAUUAUGGAGCAAAGUUUUUUUUUUUUUUUGGUUAUUGUCUUCAUGUACACUAGAACUAAAGUAAGUUAAUUAUGAUCUUACCCAAUCAGUCUUUGCUUAUAAUUAACAUCUUUAUAUCACAGAGUCGUGUAGUCAAGCUAAUCCUCUUACACAUUGGAGUGAAACUUUAUGCGAGUACACUUUUGCAAUCCCUGAAUUCGUGAUGGUAAUACGGAUUUCGAAAUAUAUUUUAAUAUUAGUUCAUCA